rnacentral:rRNA from 1 species
GGUUAAGCGACUAAGCGUACACGGUGGAUGCCCUGGCAGUCAGAGGCGAUGAAGGACGUGCUAAUCUGCGAAAAGCGCCGGCGAGGUGAUAUGAACCUUUGACCCGGCGAUGUCCGAAUGGGGAAACCCAGUGCAAUCCGUUGCACUAUCGUUAACUGAAUACAUAGGUUAACGAGGCGAACCGGGGGAACUGAAACAUCUAAGUACCCCGAGGAAAAGAAAUCAACCGAGAUUCCCCCAGUAGCGGCGAGCGAACGGGGAGCAGCCCGGAGUCUGAAUCAGCUUGUGUGUUAGUGGAACGGUCUGGAAAGUCCGACGGUACAGGGUGAUAGUCCCGUACACGAAAGCACACUUGCUGUGAACUCGAAGAGUAGGGCGGGACACGUGGUAUCCUGUCUGAAUAUGGGGGGACCAUCCUCCAAGGCUAAAUACUCCUGACUGACCGAUAGUGAACCAGUACCGUGAGGGAAAGGCGAAAAGAACCCCGGCGAGGGGAGUGAAAAAGAACCUGAAACCGUGUACGUACAAGCAGUGGGAGCCUCUUUAUGGGGUGACUGCGUACCUUUUGUAUAAUGGGUCAGCGACUUAUAUUCUGUAGCAAGGUUAACCGUAUAGGGGAGCCGAAGGGAAACCGAGUCUUAACUGGGCGUUAAGUUGCAGGGUAUAGACCCGAAACCCGGUGAUCUAGCCAUGGGCAGGUUGAAGGUUGGGUAACACUAACUGGAGGACCGAACCGACUAAUGUUGAAAAAUUAGCGGAUGACCUGUGGCUGGGGGUGAAAGGCCAAUCAAACCGGGAGAUAGCUGGUUCUCCCCGAAAGCUAUUUAGGUAGCGCCUCGUGAAUUCAUCUUCGGGGGUAGAGCACUGUUUCGGCUAGGGGGCCAUCCCGGCUUACCAACCCGAUGCAAACUACGAAUACCGAAGAAUGUUAUCACGGGAGACACACGGCGGGUGCUAACGUCCGUCGUGAAGAGGGAAACAACCCAGACCGCCAGCUAAGGUCCCAAAGUCAUGGUUAAGUGGGAAACGAUGUGGGAAGGCACAGACAGCCAGGAUGUUGGCUUAGAAGCAGCCAUCAUUUAAAGAAAGCGUAAUAGCUCACUGGUCGAGUCGGCCUGCGCGGAAGAUGUAACGGGGCUAAACCAUGCACCGAAGCUGCGGCAGCGACGCUUAGGCGUUGUUGGGUAGGGGAGCGUUCUGUAAGCCGUUGAAGGUGUCCUGUGAGGGGUGCUGGAGGUAUCAGAAGUGCGAAUGCUGACAUAAGUAACGAUAAAGCGGGUGAAAAGCCCGCUCGCCGGAAGACCAAGGGUUCCUGUCCAACGUUAAUCGGGGCAGGGUGAGUCGACCCCUAAGGCGAGGCCGAAAGGCGUAGUCGAUGGGAAACAGGUUAAUAUUCCUGUACUUGGUGUUACUGCGAAGGGGGGACGGAGAAGGCUAUGUCAGCCGGGCGACGGUUGUCCCGGUUUAAGCAUGUAGGCGGAGGUUCCAGGUAAAUCCGGUACCUUAUUAACGCUGAGGUGUGAUGACGAGGCACUACGGUGCUGAAGUGAUAAAUGCCCUGCUUCCAGGAAAAGCCUCUAAGCAUCAGGUAACACGAAAUCGUACCCCAAACCGACACAGGUGGUCAGGUAGAGAAUACCAAGGCGCUUGAGAGAACUCGGGUGAAGGAACUAGGCAAAAUGGUGCCGUAACUUCGGGAGAAGGCACGCUGAUGUGUAGGUGAAGUCCCUGCGGACGGAGCUGAAAUCAGUCGAAGAUACCAGCUGGCUGCAACUGUUUAUUAAAAACACAGCACUGUGCAAACACGAAAGUGGACGUAUACGGUGUGACGCCUGCCCGGUGCCGGAAGGUUAAUUGAUGGGGUUAGCGGCAACGCGAAGCUCUUGAUCGAAGCCCCGGUAAACGGCGGCCGUAACUAUAACGGUCCUAAGGUAGCGAAAUUCCUUGUCGGGUAAGUUCCGACCUGCACGAAUGGCGUAAUGAUGGCCAGGCUGUCUCCACCCGAGACUCAGUGAAAUUGAACUCGCUGUGAAGAUGCAGUGUACCCGCGGCAAGACGGAAAGACCCCGUGAACCUUUACUAUAGCUUGACACUGAACACUGGUCCUUGAUGUGUAGGAUAGGUGGGAGGCUUUGAAGCGUGGACGCCAGUCUGCGUGGAGCCAACCUUGAAAUACCACCCUUUAAUGGCUGGUGUUCUAACGUAGACCCGUAAUCCGGGUUGCGGACAGUGUCUGGUGGGUAGUUUGACUGGGGCGGUCUCCUCCCAAAGAGUAACGGAGGAGCACGAAGGUUGGCUAAUCCUGGUCGGACAUCAGGAGGUUAGUGCAAUGGCAUAAGCCAGCUUGACUGCGAGCGUGACGGCGCGAGCAGGUGCGAAAGCAGGUCAUAGUGAUCCGGUGGUUCUGAAUGGAAGGGCCAUCGCUCAACGGAUAAAAGGUACUCCGGGGAUAACAGGCUGAUACCGCCCAAGAGUUCAUAUCGACGGCGGUGUUUGGCACCUCGAUGUCGGCUCAUCACAUCCUGGGGCUGAAGUAGGUCCCAAGGGUAUGGCUGUUCGCCAUUUAAAGUGGUACGCGAGCUGGGUUUAGAACGUCGUGAGACAGUUCGGUCCCUAUCUGCCGUGGGCGCUGGAGAAUUGAGGGGGGCUGCUCCUAGUACGAGAGGACCGGAGUGGACGCAUCACUGGUGUUCGGGUUGUCAUGCCAAUGGCACUGCCCGGUAGCUAAAUGCGGAAGAGAUAAGUGCUGAAAGCAUCUAAGCACGAAACUUGCCCCGAGAUGAGUUCUCCCUGAGACUUUAAGUCUCCUGAAGGAACGUUGAAGACGACGACGUUGAUAGGUCGGGUGUGUAAGCGCAGCGAUGCGUUGAGCUAACCGAUACUAAUGAACCGUGAGGCUUAACCUU